rnacentral:rRNA from 1 species
CCUACGGGUGGCAGCAGUAGGGAAUCUUCCACAAUGGGCGAAAGCCUGAUGGAGCAACGCCGCGUGAGUGAAGAAGGUCUUCGGAUCGUAAAACCCUGUUGUUAGAGAAGAACGUGCGUGAGAGUAACUGUUCACGUCUCGACGGUAUCUAACCAGAAAGCCACGGCUAACUACGUGCCAGCAGCCGCGGUAAUACGUAGGUGGCAAGCGUUAUCCGGAUUUAUUGGGCGUAAAGCGAACGCAGGCGGUUGUUUAAGUCUGAUGUGAAAGCCUUCGGCUUAACCGGGGUAGUGCAUUGGAAACUGGGGGACUUGAGUGCAGAAGAGGAGAGUGGAAUUCCAGGUGUAGCGGUGAAAUGCGUAGAUAUAUGGAGGAACACCAGUGGCGAAGGCGACUCUCUGGUCUGUAACUGACGCUGAGGUUCGAAAGCGUGGGUAGCAAACAGGAUUAGAUACCCCGGUAGUC